rnacentral:misc_RNA from 1 species
AAGCUUCAAACGACGAAAUUGUAGCGAAGAGUGAAGAAAUCAGUGAUUUACUGAAAUGGGUAUUUGCUAAAUGAGGAAAUUUACAGAAAUCAGGCUUGAUUACAACUACUUUUUGGUCAGGUAUAAAUUCUUCGGCUGAAUCAAGAAGAGUGAAAACAUCAGUGUCGGUGUUCUCAUCAUCAGCGAUGAAGCUGUUAUUCUCCUCGUCGGCGAAGAGUUCGAAGGUUUUGGUUCUAACAACAUGAGCAAAUUUGUGAAACAUUUCAGAAAUUUGUGGGGGUUUUGCUGUUCCUUCCAUUUCCAACAUCUCUAAGAAGGCAUAAAGAUGGAUAAAUUCUUGGCUUUGUGGUUGAGAUUUGUUGAGAAGAG